rnacentral:rRNA from 1 species
UAAGUUCCUUGGAACAGGACGUCACAGAGGGUGAGAAUCCCGUACGUGACCGGUCGCCACGCCCGUGUGAAGCUCCUUCGACGAGUCGAGUUGUUUGGGAAUGCAGCUCAAAAUGGGUGGUAAAUUUCAUCUAAAGCUAAAUAUUGGCCAGAGACCGAUAGCGCACAAGUAGAGUGAUCGAAAGAUGAAAAGCACUUUGGAAAGAGAGUUAAACAGUACGUGAAAUUGUUGAAAGGGAAGCGCUUGCAACCAGACUUGCCCGCAGGUGAUCAACCGGUAUUCUUACCGGUGCACUCACCUGUGGUCAGGCCAGCAUCGGUUUGGGCGGCUGGAUAAAGUUCUCUGGAAUGUAGCUCCCUUCGGGGAGUGUUAUAGCCAGAGGUGCAAUGCAGCCCGCCUGGACCGAGGACCGCGCUUCGGCUAGGAUGCUGGCGUAAUGGUUGUAAGCGACCCGUCUUGAAACACGGACCAAGGAGUCUAACAUCUAUGCGAGUGUUUGGGUGUCAAACCCAUGCGCGUAAUGAAAGUGAACGGAGGUGGGAACCCUUAAGGGUGCACCAUCGACCGAUCCUGAUGUCUUCGGAUGGAUUUGAGUAAGAGCAUAGCUGUUGGGACCCGAAAGAUGGUGAACUAUGCCUGAAUAGGGUGAAGCCAGAGGAAACUCUGGUGGAGGCUCGCAGCGGUUCUGACGUGCAAAUCGAUCGUCAAA